GCACAUUUUCUCAUUAUCUCUAUCCUUUCCGAGUCAAUCUCUAUAUACAAUUCAAUCAGGAAGGUGUCAGGUUCUUGUUAACAGAAGGUACAGGAGCAAGAGUGGGAGAAUGGGAUCAUAAUCCAGCUCUUGUAUCUUCACGUUUUCUAUUUCUUUUCUUCUCUUCAAACAACAAAUGUUCUCGCUCAGAUGUCCCUGUGAAGGAUUUUCGCAAGAUGAGAUCUCAAACCAAGCUGUAAAUGCUAUUUAGUUACAUGAUCCAUCAGCAAUCUGUAAGCCGAGCUACCCCAUCCCAUAGUUAGUUAUGUGUCAAACGAUCAAAAUCUCUACCAUUCAGUAACCAAGACGAUCAUUCAGUGAGGUGCGUCCGUCACCUGAUUGCCCUUCAGGAGGAACCCAAGAAUUGUAAUCCUUCUCACUCUUCAGAAAUGAUGGUCUGUCUGGACCAAGAACCUUCUUUUGCUUUUUUUUCUUUUCCUUCCUCGUUUGACUUUCAUGUGAUACAUCACCUCCGCUGGAUUCCACUUCAUCAUCAGUACUAUGGUAUCUUUGAGAAUGUUUCAACAGCAGAGCUACCGCAUCUUCUGCUUGUAAAUCAGCUCCAGUGGAUUCUUGAGAAUGUUUGACUUCAGUAACAUCAGACUUCUCAACUUGCUUGCGCUUCCUUAUUAUUAGUCCAGGAGCUGCACUUUCAAUUCCAGAGUCAGCAGUCAACUGUGUAGCAUCUGGUUUUACCAAAACUUUAUUCCUGUCUUUGUAGUCAACAAAUUGAUCAUUGUCUUGCAGUUCUGUCUGUCGUUCAAUAACUUUCUCUUGUUUUUUCUUUUCAUCUACAGCACCAAGCCAUUGGGGCUUACUAGCAAUGUACACAACAUUUUUACCACCAGCUGCAUCAGCCACAAUCUCCUUCUUUGUUUCUUGACUGAAUGAAGAGUUCGCAUCAAUAGUAUCCUGUUUCUCCAUUAAAACCUUAGGUUCUGCUCUAUCUUUUUUGUUCUGCUCGGGUGGAGGCUGCUGACGGGCAGCAGUUGCAACAGUUUUGGUCAUAUUGGUCUUUGGUUCUU
rnacentral:misc_RNA from 1 species